rnacentral:rRNA from 1 species
GACGAACGCUGGCGGCGUGCUUAACACAUGCAAGUCGAACGGAAAGGCCCUGCUUUUGUGGGGUGCUCGAGUGGCGAACGGGUGAGUAACACGUGAGUAACCUGCCCUUGACUUUGGGAUAACUUCAGGAAACUGGGGCUAAUACCGGAUAGGAGCUCCUGCUGCAUGGUGGGGGUUGGAAAGUUUCGGCGGUUGGGGAUGGACUCGCGGCUUAUCAGCUUGUUGGUGGGGUAGUGGCUUACCAAGGCUUUGACGGGUAGCCGGCCUGAGAGGGUGACCGGCCACAUUGGGACUGAGAUACGGCCCAGACUCCUACGGGAGGCAGCAGUGGGGAAUAUUGCACAAUGGGCGGAAGCCUGAUGCAGCAACGCCGCGUGCGGGAUGACGGCCUUCGGGUUGUAAACCGCUUUCGCCUGUGACGAAGCGUGAGUGACGGUAAUGGGUAAAGAAGCACCGGCUAACUACGUGCCAGCAGCCGCGGUGAUACGUAGGGUGCGAGCGUUGUCCGGAUUUAUUGGGCGUAAAGGGCUCGUAGGUGGUUGAUCGCGUCGGAAGUGUAAUCUCGGGGCUUAACCCUGAGCGUGCUUUCGAUACGGGUUGACUUGAGGAAAGUAGGGGAGAAUGGAAUUCCUGGUGGAGCGGUGGAAUGCGCAGAUAUCAGGAGGAACACCAGUGGCGAAGGCGGUUCUCUGGGCCUUUUCUGACGCUGAGGAGCGAAAGCGUGGGGAGCGAACAGGCUUAGAUCCCCUGGUAGUCCACGCUGUAAACGGGGGGUACUAGGUGUUGGGGUCCAUUCCACGGGUUCCGUGCCGUAGCUAACGCUUUAAGUACCCCGCCUGGGGAGUACGGCCGCAAGGGCUAAAACUCAAAGGAAUUGACGGGGCCCGCACAAGCGGCGGAGCAUGCGGAUUAAUUCGAUGCAACGCGUAGAACCUUACCUGGGUUUGACAUGGAUCGGGAGUGCUCAGAGAUGGGUGUGCCUCUUUUGGGGUCGGUUCACAGGUGGUGCAUGCCUGUCGUCAGCUCGUGUCGUGAGAUGUUGGGUUAAGUCCCGCAACGAGCGCAACCCUUGUUCACUGUUGCCAGCACGUUAUGGUGGGGACUCAGUGGAGACCGCCGGGGUCAACUCGGAGGAAGGUGGGGAUGACGUCAAGUCAUCAUGCCCCUUAUGUCCAGGGCUUCACGCAUGCUACAAUGGCUGGUACAGAGAGUGGCGAGCCUGUGAGGGUGAGCGAAUCUCGGAAAGCCGGUCUCAGUUCGGAUUGGGGUCUGCAACUCGACCUCAUGAAGUCGGAGUCGCUAGUAAUCGCAGAUCAGCAACGCUGCGGUGAAUACGUUCCCGGGGCU